rnacentral:tRNA from 1 species
GGAGGGUAUAGCUCAGUGGUAGAGUGCAUGCGUCCCAUGCAUGAGGCCCUGGGUUCAAUCCCCAGCACCUCCA